rnacentral:rRNA from 1 species
AACGAACGCUGGCGGCAGGCUUAACACAUGCAAGUCGAACGCAUCCUUCGGGGUGAGUGGCAGACGGGUGAGUAACGCGUGGGAACGUGCCCUUCAGUUCGGGAUAACACAGGGAAACUUGGGCUAAUACCGGAUACGUGCGAGAGCAGAAAGAUUUAUCGCUGAAGGAUCGGCCCGCGUCUGAUUAGCUAGUUGGUGGGGUAAUGGCCCACCAAGGCGACGAUCAGUAGCUGGUCUGAGAGGAUGAUCAGCCACAUUGGGACUGAGACACGGCCCAAACUCCUACGGGAGGCAGCAGUGGGGAAUAUUGGACAAUGGGCGCAAGCCUGAUCCAGCCAUGCCGCGUGAGUGAUGAAGGCCUUAGGGUUGUAAAGCUCUUUCGUCCGGGACGAUAAUGACGGUACCGGAAGAAGAAGCCCCGGCUAACUUCGUGCCAGCAGCCGCCUAA